GACGAACGCUGGCGGCAGGCCUAACACAUGCAAGUCGAGCGAGCGGCGGACGGGGGAGUAAUGUCUGGGAAACUGCCUGAAGGCUGGGGAUAACUACUGGAAACGGUAGCUAAUACCGCAUUCCAUCAGCUGUGCCCAGGUGGGAUUAGCUAGUAGGUGGGGUAACGGCUCACAUAGGCAACGAUCCCUAGCUGGUCUGAGAGGGUGACCAGCCACACUGGAACUGAGACACGGUCCAGACUCCUACGGGAGGCAGCAGUGGGGAAUAUUGCGCAAUGGGCGCAAGCCUGAUGCAGCAAUGCCGCGUGUGUGAAGAAGGCCUUCGGGUUGUAAAGCACUUUCGGCAGGGAAGCGUUACCCGAAGAAGAAGCACCGGCUAACUCCGUGCCAGCCGCCGCGGUAAUAC
rnacentral:rRNA from 1 species